GGCUCAGUGGUCUAGUAGUAUGAUUCUCGCUUCGGGUAACCCGGCUCAUGGAGCCGAGCGUGCGAGAGGUCCCGGGUUCAAUUCCCGGCUGAGCCC